AUACGGAGGAUGCGAGCGUUAUCCGGAUUUAUUGGGUUUAAAGGGUGCGUAGGCUGUGCGUUAAGUCAGGGGUGAAAUGCCGUCGCUCAACGACGGAGCUGCCCUUGAUACUGGCGGGCUGGAGUACGGAUGCCGUGGGAGGAAUGAGUGGCGUAGCGGAGAAAUGCUUAGAUAUCACUCAGAACACCGAUUGCGAAGGCAUCUGACGAAUCCGUCACUGACGCUGAGGCACGAAAGCGUGGGGAUAGAACAGGAUUAGAUACCCUGGUAUUCCACGCCGUAAACGAUGAUGACUAACCGUCGGCGAUAGACAGCCGGUGGCCAAGCGAAAGCGAUAAGUCAUCCACCUGGGGAGUACGGCGGCAACGAUGAAACUCAAAUGAAUUGACGGGG
rnacentral:rRNA from 1 species